rnacentral:rRNA from 1 species
CACGUAGGGCGCGAGCGUUGUCCGGAAUUAUUGGGCGUAAAGAGCUCGUAGGCGGCCUGUUGCGUCCGCUGUGAAAGCCCGGGGCUUAACCCCGGGUCGGCAGUGGAUACGGGCAGGCUAGAGGUAGGUAGGGGAGAAUGGAAUUCCCGGUGUAGCGGUGAAAUGCGCAGAUAUCAGGUGGAACACCGGUGGCGAAGGCGGUGGUCUGGGCCGGAACUGACGCUGAGGAGCGAAAGCGUGGGGAGCGAACAGG